GAUGAACGCUAGCGGCAGGCCUAACACAUGCAAGUCGAGGGGCAGCGCAGGUAGCAAUACUGGGCGGCGACCGGCGCACGGGUGAGUAACGCGUAUGCAACCUGCCCCCGUCUGGGGAAUAGCCCGUCGAAAGGCGGAUUAAUGCCCCAUAGUUCUCUUUGCCGGCAUCGGCGAAGAGGUAAAGGUUACGGACGGGGAUGGGCAUGCGUGCCAUUAGCUUGUUGGCGGGGUAACGGCCCACCAAGGCUACGAUGGCUAGGGGAGCUGAGAGGCUGAACCCCCACACUGGUACUGAGACACGGACCAGACUCCUACGGGAGGCAGCAGUGAGGAAUAUUGGUCAAUGGGCGAGAGCCUGAACCAGCCAUGCCGCGUGCAGGAAGACGGCCCUACGGGUUGUAAACUGCUUUUCUGCGGGAAGAACGGCCC
rnacentral:rRNA from 1 species